rnacentral:rRNA from 1 species
CAAUAACAGGUCUGUGAUGCCCUUAGAUGUUCUGGGCUGCACGCGCGCUACACUGAUGCAUGCAACGAGUUCUUGACCUUGGCCGGAAGGUCUAGGUAAUCUUUUGAGUGUGCAUCGUGAUGGGGAUAGAUUAUUGCAAUUAUUAAUCUUCAACGAGGAAUGCCUAGUAGGCGUAAGUCAGCAGCUUGCGCCGAUUACGUCCCUGCCCUUUGUACACACCACCCGUCGCUGCGACCGAUCGGAGGGUCCUGUGAACUCAAUGGGCUGACCAACUCCCUUCGGGGGUUGGUCGGGAAGUUGCGUAAAUAGAGCCCUCUAAAGGAUGCAAAAGCCGUAACACGGUUUCCGUAGGUGAACCUGCGGAAGGAUCA